CCGGGAUAGCUCAGUUGGUAGAGCAGAGGACUGAAAAUCCUCG
rnacentral:tRNA from 1 species